rnacentral:rRNA from 1 species
AUGGCCGGAGCCGUCCCCGACCCACGAGGAUAUGCUCUAGAGCUUCGUCGGCCUUGUCUGCAUCUCCUACAACCUCCGGUUCAAGCUGAAGCCCUCCACAACCUCGCCAUCUGGUCGUCUUCCCCGCCACGGCCACGGUGCCAUCGCCGUCGAUCUCCACCACCGGCGCCUCCCCGCGGUUCCGAGCACGUCCACGACCUCCCUCACAACCCCGAGACUGAUGUUGUCCCUGUGAUCGACUACAUCGACGACGACCCUUCUUCCCUUUCAGCGGAGUUUCCAGAUGGUGGAGCCCAGGAUCCAGACGCCACCUUCGACGAUGACUGCUACUACACUGAGGGUGCCUACUACUACUUGGAGGCCGCCGACGACCAGGAGUAG